UAUAGGCCGUAAUAGUGAGGUCUAAUUUUGACGUUCAAUACCACUACCAUUCAGAAACCAACAACCAAUCAGAUGCGUUUAAUCUACCCGAUUAACCAAUCACAUACGUACUUAGUCACUUUGCGGUAGAGGUAGUGGAAGUCCCGUCAAAACAAUGACUGACUGGAUAGCAUGGAGAACAGUGGGAUUUUCAAAACAAUGAAAAGACAACGGAACAUUCUGAUCACUGGAUCAUGACUGGAUGGCAUGGAGAACAGUGGGAUUUUCAAAACAAUGAAAAGACAAUGGAACAUUCUGAUCACUGGAUCAUGACUGGAUGGCAUAGAGAACAGUGGGAUUUUCAAAACAAUGAAAAGACAAUGGAACAUUCUGAUCACUGGAUCAUGACUGGAUGGCAUAGAGAACAGUGGGAUUUUCAAAACAAUGAAAAGACAAUGGAACAUUCUGAUCACUGGAUCAUGACUGGAUGACAUGGAGAACAGUGAGAUUUUCAAAACAAUGAAAAGACAAUGGAAUAUUCUGA